rnacentral:rRNA from 1 species
CCUACGGGCGGCAGCAGUGAGGAAUAUUGGUCAAUGGGCGGGAGCCUGAACCAGCCAAGUCGCGUGAGGGAAGACGGUCCUAUGGAUUGUAAACCUCUUUAGGCGGGGAGCAAUGCCGGGCACGCGUGCCCGGAGGGAGAGUACCCGCAGAAUAAGCAUCGGCUAACUCCGUGCCAGCAGCCGCGGUAAUACGUAGGGGGCAAGCGUUAUCCGGAUUUACUGGGUGUAAAGGGAGCGUAGACGGCUUGGCAAGCCAGAUGUGAAAGGCUGGGGCUCAACCCCAGGACUGCAUUUGGAACUGUCAUGCUAGAGUGUCGGAGAGGCAGGCGGAAUUCCUAGUGUAGCGGUGAAAUGCGUAGAUAUUAGGAGGAACACCAGUGGCGAAGGCGGCCUGCUGGACGAUGACUGACGUUGAGGCUCGAAAGCGUGGGGAGCAAACAGGAUUAGAUACCCUAGUAGUC